rnacentral:rRNA from 1 species
UACGAAGGGAGCUAGCGUUGUUCGGAAUCACUGGGCGUAAAGCGCACGUAGGCGGCUUACUAAGUCAGGGGUGAAAUCCUGGAGCUCAACUCCAGAACUGCCUUUGAUACUGGUAAGCUCGAGUCCGGGAGAGGUGAGUGGAACUGCGAGUGUAGAGGUGAAAUUCGUAGAUAUUCGCAAGAACACCAGUGGCGAAGGCGGCUCACUGGCCCGAUACUGACGCUGAGGUGCGAAAGCGUGGGGAGCAAACAGGG